UACGUAGGGGGCAAGCGUUGCCCGGAUUCAUUGGGCGUAAAGAGCGUGUAGGCGGCCAGGUAGGUCCGUUGUGAAAACUGCAGGCUCAACCUGCAGAGGUCGAUGGAAACCACCUGGCUAGAGUCCGGAAGAGGAGAGUGGAAUUCCUGGUGUAGCGGUGAAAUGCGCAGAUAUCAGGAAGAACACCCGUGGCGAAGGCGGCUCUCUGGGACGGUACUGACGCUGAGACGCGAAAGCGUGGGGAGCGAACAGG
rnacentral:rRNA from 1 species